UGUAGCUAAUAGACAUUCAAAAAAGUUUGUGGUUAUAAUUUAAGGCUUCUGUGAUUUUUGUUCACAGUCCCCUGUUAACUAACUUUGAACUUCUCUCACCCCUCAGUCUCCAUAUCCCAGAGAAGAUGACAAGACAAUUGUAGAAUGUCAAAGCGUCCCCACCGCCUCCCUGGAUGCCCUCCAGGUGGACAACCCACAGGAAGGAGCGCUGCACAUGAGCUGCCACGAGGACAUCAGCUCCACAGACUCCCAGGAUGGGCCCACAGUUAAUCCAGGGAGGAGCGAGAGCACCCAGGAGUUGGUGAACAAAGCCAGGAAGAGGAGGGGCUUCAAGUCCUUCUUCUCCUUUGGGAAGAAAAAAAAGGACCGAGCUGCAGAAAACAACAAAGCAGCAUCAGAGCAAGGCACUGCACCAGGAACACAGAGGCUGGAUUCUGCUGCAGUCAGGACCUACUCCUCCUAAAGGCUCCUGUUGUUUACCCAUACUUCUUCAAAGAUGAUUAUGCAGCAUUUUGAAUCCAACAGACUACAUUUUAGAAUUCAGUGGAAUCUUUAAUCUGUUAAUACUUGUUAUGUGGACCCUAAGAUAUUUUAUUACAGAGUUUUUAGCAAGUGAAAAAUUCAUGAAUACCACAGA